UACGGAGGAUCCGAGCGUUAUCCGGAUUUAUUGGGUUUAAAGGGUGCUCAGGCGGGCCAUUAAGUCGGCGGUGAAAUUUUGCGGCUCAACCGUAAAAGUGCCUUCGAUACCGGUGGUCUUGAGUGUGGAUGAGGUAGGCGGAAUUUGUGGUGUAGCGGUGAAAUGCAUAGAUAUCACGAGGAACUCCGAUUGCUAAGGCAGCUUACUAAGCUACUACUGACGCUCAGGCACGAAGGCGUGGGGAUCAAACAGGAUUAGAUAUCCCGGUAGUCCCU
rnacentral:rRNA from 1 species